UGGCUACGAGGACGAACGCUGGCGGCGUGCUUAACACCUGCAAGUCGAGCGGAAAGGCCCUUUCGGGGGGUACUCGAGCGGCGAACGGGUGAGUAACACGUGAGUAAUCUGCCCUUGGCUUUGGGAUAACUACCGGAAACGGUGGCUAAUACCGGAUACGACCACUCCUUGCAUGAGGUGGUGGUGGAAAGUUUUUCGGCCAGGGAUGUGCUCGCGGCCUAUCAGCUUGUUGGUGGGGUAAUGGCCUACCAAGGCUUCGACGGGUAGCCGGCCUGAGAGGGUGACCGGCCACACUGGGACUGAGACACGGCCCAGACUCCUACGGGAGGCAGCAGUGGGGAAUAUUGGACAAUGGGCGGAAGCCUGAUCCAGCAACGCCGCGUGAGGGAUGACGGCCUUCGGGUUGUAAACCUCUUUCAGUACCGACGAAAGCGCCGAUGAUGGUGGUGACGGUAGGUACAGAAGAAGCACCGGCCAACUACGUG
rnacentral:rRNA from 1 species